ensembl:miRNA
UAGAGGCAGGCAGAUCUCUGUGAGUUCGAGGCCAGCCUGGUCUACAGAGUGAGUUCCAGGACAUCCAGGACGACACAGAGAAACCUUGUCUC